rnacentral:rRNA from 1 species
CCUACGGGGGGCAGCAGUGAGGAAUAUUGGUCAAUGGGCUUACGCCUGAACCAGCCAAGUCGCGUGAGGGAAGACUGCCCUAUGGGUUGUAAACCUCUUUUGUCAGGGAGCAACGCCGGCUACGUGUAGCCGGACUGAGAGUACCUGAAGAAAAAGCAUCGGCUAACUCCUUGCCAGCAGCCGCGGUAAUACGGAGGAUGCGAGCGUUAUCCGGAUUGAUUGGGUUUAAAGGGUGCGUAGGCGGAAUGCCAAGUCAGCGGUAAAAUCGCGGGGCUCAACCUCGCUCCGCCGUUGAAACUGGCGUUCUUGAGUGGGCGAGAAGUAUGCGGAAUGCGUGGUGUAGCGGUGAAAUGCAUAGAUAUCACGCAGAACUCCGAUUGCGAAGGCAGCAUACCGGCGCCCAACUGACGCUGAAGCACGAAAGCGUGGGUAUCGAACAGGAUUAGAUACCCGAGUAGUC